GGGGUCGACUUGUAAGAGAUAAAGAAGAGCUCUCGUUCGUUGUUGAACUAACGUAGAUCUUUUGCCUGAGUUCAGGCGAUGCUGAGCUGACCUCUCCAGAAGGCCUGAAGGAAAUGUGGGCACUGGGGAGCGGGGACGGCCUGGGAAGAAACUGCUCCAAUUUCCAGC